ACGUCAUCCCCACCUUCCUCCGGUUUGUCACCGGCAGUCUCCCUAGAGUUCCCGACCGAAUCGCUGGCAAAUAGGGACAGGGGUUGCGCUCGUUACGGGACUUAACCCAACAUUUCACAACACGAGCUGACGACAGCCAUGCAGCACCUGUCACUCGGCUCCCGAAGGCACUCCGCCGUCUCCGGCAGAUUCCGAGGAUGUCAAGGGUAGGUAAGGUUCUUCGCGUUGCAUCGAAUUAAACCACAUGCUCCACCGCUUGUGCGGGCCCCCGUCAAUUCAUUUGAGUUUUAACCUUGCGGCCGUACUCCCCAGGCGGUCGACUUAUCGCGUUAACUGCGCCACUAAGAACUCGAGGCUCCCAACGGCUAGUCGACAUCGUUUACGGCGUGGACUACCAGGG
rnacentral:misc_RNA from 1 species